rnacentral:rRNA from 1 species
UACGAAGGGGGCUAGCGUUGCUCGGAAUGACUGGGCGUAAAGGGCGCGUAGGCGGUUUGUACAGUCAGGUGUGAAAUUCCCGGGCUCAACCUGGGGGCUGCACUUGAUACGUAUGGACUGGAGUGGGGAAGAGGGUCGUGGAAUUCCCAGUGUAGAGGUGAAAUUCGUAGAUAUUGGGAAGAACACCGGUGGCGAAGGCGGCGACCUGGUCCUUGACUGACGCUGAGGCGCGAAAUCGUUGGGAGCAAACAGG